GCUUCCAGGUUUAUAAAGCUACCCUGGCCUUACCUCUAUUUCCAGAUCUACAGAGCCCAGAGCCUUUGCCCUGGUGCCCUCCAGCAUGAGAUGCUUUCUGCAUGGCUGGCUCCUCCUUGUUAUUCAUAUUUCAAUUUAAAUAUCACCUCCUUGGAGAGAAAUUCCCUCAACUAAACUAAAGUAGCCUACCCACUCACUUUAUCAGUUCUUCUUAUCUUAAUUCUCUGAGUAUCACUAUCUCACAUGUUUCUUGUCUUCAUAAUCUUUUUCCUGCCCUAAAGAAAAAAAAAAAAAAAAGCAUCAUCAAAUGGAGAUUUGUCUUGUUCUACCACUGUAUCUCUAUUGCUCAAUAUUGUGUGUGGUGCACAGUAGGUACUCAAUAAAUAUCAGCUGAAUGGAUUUGUUAUAAUUUCAUAAUCAUUAUAAUGAAUAUUAUAUCAUUAUCACUAUUAUACCAAAGUAGUCUACUUUGGAAUGAGAUUUACUCUACCUUUAGUAUCUAUUCCUUUCCCUGCUUUAUUUUUCCUUUUGGUACUAAUCACUUUGUGUCACUGUAUAAUGUAUUUAUUUAUUCAUUUAUGUUAGGGAAUGUCACUGAAAAGAUGUGACUGCCAACUGACCUGUGAGGUAGACCCAGGCACUCAGGGUUCCUCAGCCAACUCCCCUGUCCUGGGAACAUGGGUUCUGCUUGUCUUUCCCACUUUCAGAGGCUGCUCCAAGGACAUGGCCUUGAGAUAGUGAUGUAAUGUUUAGAUCACCUGCAUGGUAUAUGUGAUUCAAACAGUUAAGACCUCUACAUAAACUUUUAAGAUGUUGCAGAUGGGUGCAGGGAACCAUUCAGCUUGCUGCCACCCAAGACAAGCCUCAAAUGUAAAUUCCCUUUGCUAUUAUUAAAACUGCCACCUACUAACCUGGUGUGGACUGCAUCUUUCUCUAGUCUCUUCCUAUUCUCUAAGUACAGGGCCAGUUUCAGUUUAUACCUGGGAAGCUCCCCAGAGGGUUGCCAAAC
rnacentral:lncRNA from 1 species